UACGUAGGUGGCAAGCGUUGUCCGGAUUUACUGGGCGUAAAGAGCGCGCAGGCGGUCAGAUAAGUCGAAUGUGAAAGCCCCUGGCUCAACUGGGGAGGGUCAUUCGAUACUGUUCGACUCGAAGGCAGGAGAGGGAAGUGGAAUUCCCGGUGUAGUGGUGAAAUGCGUAGAUAUCGAGAGGAACACCUGAGGUGAAGACGGGUUGCUGGGCUGACACUGACGCUGAGGCGCGAAAGCCAGGGGAGCAAACGGG
rnacentral:rRNA from 1 species